rnacentral:lncRNA from 1 species
UUUUUCUCCAUUCCAAUUGGGCCGCUGCUCUUUCCUCUCUGGACUCUGAAUCGCCAUUCCAAUGGGUACUUCAAAGUUUGGUAUUGAUAGCUUUAAUUUGGCAAAGUCAGCGAUGACUUGUGUAUAAAGAAAUUGGAUAUUUGAUUGACUUUUAAAAUUUUGCUUUGAUUUUGAAGUCGGCUAUGUAGAUGUGCUGCGUGUAGUGGGUAGAAUGCCUUGUAUAAAAGUUUUGCUUUAAGUUUGUCAAAAUUUAUUUAGUUCAUUUUGAAUCAUAGUUAAGUCUGCUGAUAUUUUGUCAAGUAUGUAGAUAUUGUUUCAAUUUUUUUUUGAGGGAAUAUUUUGCUGAUAUUGUUUCAAUUUUUUUUUUAGUUCUGCUGAUAUUGAUUCAAUUUAGUUUUGCUUAAGCCGGCUGAAUUUUACUUUUUUUUUGUAUUGACUGAAAUAGAUAUUUCGUAUGCACAAGACGUAACUAGUUGCUACAAGUUGGGGAUGGUUCAUCUUCAACAAUUAAUGACAUUAUAAUUGUUUUAAGAUUAUUAUUUAUUUUAAAUUUAUUUAUUUAUUUAUUUAAUUAUUAAUUUUAUUAAAAAAAAAUUGGACCCCCCUAAACUCAAAGUCUGGCUCCGCCCCUGC